CAUGUCCAAUUCUGAGGAAGAUGCCUCAUGGACUAUUGAGAGAGAAUGUCAGAGGUAGCUGGAGACGCAUGGAAGAAUUGCCUUCGCCAACUGCAACUUCACGACCUUAGAGCUAAGGAUUCAAAUCCAAGCUGCCAAACUCAAUUUAUGGAUCUCAAUGCAGAUGUCUUAUUGGCCACAGAUUUUGGCGAUGUUGUUAAAUUAAAUGUAAAGCAUGUUUGGAUGCAAGGCAUGCUCAGUUGAAUUGAACUUAAUGAAACAAAGAAAAAUGAAAAAAAAUAAAAAAUAAAAAAUCUUGAAUCAGGUAUCAUUAUUCUAAUUUGAAUGAGGUUGGCAUUGCAUAUCAUGUAUUUUAAUUCAGACUCAAUAUCAUCUGAAUUUGCAGUUUCGGUCCUUUUCCCUCUAGCAGUGUGCUUGCUACUCAUUUUUUGUCAAAGCAAAUGCUUUUUUGAAUUUGAAUAAAAUUAAGGUCCUGCUUCCCACCUAAAUAUAAAUAAAUGGCGAUUUCGACUAUUACCCAUUUAAUGUCUGACAAAAGAAAUGCUUCUAGCUUUCCAAAUCUCCCAACAACAUUGAUGGCAUGACCCAAAUGAUUACGUUUAGGUACUUCUAGCCAUUUAAACAAUCCAUUCUUCCCCUAUCAAAUGUAAAUCACUGUCCAUCCAUUUGCCAUUCUUCUCUAACCUUUGAGGUGUGUUUGGAUACAUAAUCCAAGCAGAAAUGGAAAUUGCUUUUCAUCGGCUUGCAUUUUUGUGCUGUUUUAUACGAUGAAUUAUAGGUCUAGAUGAAAUUUACAAUGAUCAUAUAUCUAGAAAUAUCAUGAUAUUUUGACCAUCUAAUCUCAUGUUUGGGAUCAUAUAUCUAGAAAUAUGUCUAGAUUGUCAUGUAUACAGUGCGCAUAUAGAUGAACAUAUGGAUAAAAUACAUGCACGCUUGUUGGUGCUUCCUGGUGAAAGGGUUGAAGGCCUGAUUUCUCCUACAGGGAACUGACAUCUCUACAACAUAAAUCAGACACUGACUGGUAGUAACUGGAAAAAGGUUUAUAGAUGCUGGAAUUUGCAUUCGAAUGCUGGGAAUUGUGAUCAGAUUGCUAUAUUUUUUU